rnacentral:rRNA from 1 species
GAUGAACGCUAGCUACAGGCUUAACACAUGCAAGUCGAGGGGAAACGGCAUUGAGUGCUUGCACUCUUUGGACGUCGACCGGCGCACGGGUGAGUAACGCGUAUCCAACCUUCCCAUUACUGUGGGAUAACCUGCCGAAAGGCAGACUAAUACCGCAUAGUCUUCGAUGACGGCAUCAGAUUUGAAGUAAAGAUUUAUCGGUAAUGGAUGGGGAUGCGUCUGAUUAGCUUGUUGGCGGGGUAACGGCCCACCAAGGCUACGAUCAGUAGGGGUUCCGAGAGGAAGGUCCCCCACAUUGGAACUGAGACACGGUCCAAACUCCUACGGGAGGCAGCAGUGAGGAAUAUUGGUCAAUGGACGGAAGUCUGAACCAGCCAAGUAGCGUGCAGGAUGACGGCCCUAUGGGUUGUAAACUGCUUUUGUAUGGGGAUAAAGUUAGGGACGUGUCCCUAUUUGCAGGUACCAUACGAAUAAGGACCGGCUAAUUCCGUG